CGAUCGAACCAACGCUAGUCACAAACACACGAUUCCGCCCAUUCUAGAGUGGACUGGACAUAAACAUGCUCGCACAUCUACUUGUCGGCUGCGUUUUGUCUGCCGGUAGCGAGGUGAUUCUUUAAGAGCUCUGAGAACCCAAACUUGUGGCCGCCCCGCAGCUGAGCCGAAGUGGAGCUGGGAGCUGCCCAGACGACCUGAGGCUGCCAGCUGACCACCUUCCUCCCUACAGAUCGCUGGAGCCAAGCUCAGCGGGGGAGAAGCCACGCUCGCGGGUGGGUGCCGGGGCUAAGGGCGGAAGCCGGGUUCCCACAGAGGCCUCCGCGCCCAGGCGGCUGCAGCGGCGGCGCCGGGGGACCGGAGGCCUGACACCGGGAUGCGCCCCCCACUCUGGACAACCGGCCGCAGAAGUAAAGGGCCAGCAUCCCGCCACAGCUAUGCUUCCCGCGGGACAAUCUCGGGAGAAGGUCCUGGAAGAGGCUCGCAGGCCGGUUUUCCGAGGGAAACGGCGAGGUGGGGAGGGAGCGCCCAUGACCCUCCCCGCCCUCCCCUCUCCCGCUCACCCGGCCGCACAGGCGACAGGACUGUUCCGAAGAAACGUACUCGGGGUUGUAGUGUCGCCCUCCGCCACACGGGGCUGGAUCACCUGCUGGCUCGGCGGCAUCGGUCCGGGCUCCUCUCUUGGUGGAGGCAGGCGGAGGCGCGCCUGCGGCGUCCUCUUUCAUUGGCCGCGGCGAGGGCGCUGCCAUGUUGGAGGAAGCGGUGCCUUCUGUGAGGUGGAAACGCCGUGGCUUCACCCAUAGCGUUGGGGAGCGCAGCCUCCUACCUUUCCUUCUCGCUGGAGUGUUGGUGCUGAGAGGCGGCGGCCGGCGGGAUGGAGAGAAGUAGGAUGAACCUGCCCAAGGGGCCGGACACGCUCUGCUUCGACAAGGACGAGUUCAUGAAGAGAUCACAAGUAGGAAGAGAGGCAGGCAGAGAGAGAGGAGGAAACAGGCUCCCUGCUGAGGAGAGAACCUGAUGUGGGGCUCGAUCCCAGGACCCUGGAAUCAUGACCUGAGCCAAAGGCAGAGGCCUUAACUCACUGAGCUACCCAGGAAGAUUUUGACGUCGAUCACUUUGUGUCUGACUAUAGGAAGCAUGUCCAGCUGGAGGAACUAAGAGGAGAUCUGGAACUCUACUAUAAACUUCUUAAAAUAGCCAUGGUGGAGCUCAUCAACAAGGAUUAUGCAGAUUUUGUCAACCUUUCCACAAACUUGGUAAACCUGAAAUUCACAAGUCCUACACACACACACACACACACACACACACACACACACACACUUUCUCUCUCCUUCAUAUUUAUUAAAAGGGCAGAGUUUUUAGAAACCUUUCAGUUGAUUACCCCACCAACCCCACCAGAAACUUGAAGAAAUUACCAAUUUCAUUAAUAAAAGAACUAAACUUUUUGGAAUACA